CCUACGGGAGGCAGCAGUAGGGAAUCUUGCACAAUGGGCGAAAGCCUGAUGGAGCAACGCCGCGUGCAGGAUGAAGGCCUUCGGGUUGGAAACUGCUUUUAUAAGCGAGAAAUAUGAUGGUAACUUAUGAAUAAGGAACGGCUAACAACGUGCCAGCAGCCGCGGUCAUACGUAGGAUCCGAGCAUUAUCCGGAGUGACUGGGGGUAAAGAGUGGCGUAGGUGGCAUAAUAAGUAGCUAGUGUAAUCUGGUGGCUCAACCAUUCAGACUAUUAGCGAAACUGUUAAGCUCGAGACCGUUAGGGGUAACUGGAAUUUCUAGUGUAGGAGUGAAAUCCGUAGAUAUUAGGAGGAACACCAAUAGCGUAGGCAGUUUGCUGAGACGGUUCUGACACUAAGGCACGAAAGCGUGGGGAGUAAACGGGAUUAGAUACCCCAGUAGUC
rnacentral:rRNA from 1 species